GCCGGGGUGCUGAAAUGGUAAACAGGCUGGUCUCAAAAACCAGUGGGCCUAAAAGCCUAUGUGGGUUCGACUCCCUCCCCCGGCA
rnacentral:tRNA from 4 species